AACCUUAUGGACCUGCGGGCGUAUACCUGCGGAAGGAUCAUUAACCUUUCAAAUCAGGGUGCGGCGCGGCCCCCGAGGAGCGGAAACAAUCCUUGGGAGGUAUGCGGGGGCUUCGAGCCCCCCAUUUACGCACGCACGACUGCCAUCCUUACUUUACGAGCACCUUCUGUUCUCCCUCGGCAGGGCAACCUGCCGUUGGAACCGAAUAAACUCUUUUUGCAUCUAGCAUUACCUGUUCCG
rnacentral:misc_RNA from 1 species